GAUUAACGCUAGCGGCAGGCAUAAUACAUGCAAGUUGAACGGCAGCACAGGUAGCAAUACUGGGUGGCGAGUGGCGCACGGGUGCGUAACACGUAUGCAACCUACCCUAUACAGGCGAAUAACCUUUAGAAAUGAGGGCUAAUACGCCGUAGUAUUACAGAUGGGCAUCUAUUUGUAAUUAAAGAUUUAUCGGUAUAGGAUGGGCAUGCGUCCCAUUAGUUAGUUGGUAAGGUAACGGCUUACCAAGACGAUGAUGGGUAGGGGAUCUGAGAGGACUUACCCCCACACUGGUACUGAAACACGGACCAGACUCCUACGGGAGGCAGCAGUAAGGAAUAUUGGGCAAUGGCCGCGAGGCUGACCCAGCCAUGCCGCGUGCAGGAAGACGGCCUUAUGGGUUGUAAACUGCUUUUAUACGGGAAUAAUAGAGUGUACGCGUACAUUUAUGCAAGUAUCGUAUGAAUAAGCAUCGGCUAACUCCGUG
rnacentral:rRNA from 1 species